CUGCUGGUUCCCAAAGCUUUUGGAGCAACGCUCAGUCGUGGCUGUCACAGCCUUCUGCUCUUUUUGUGCCUGCCAUCAACCAGCCAAUAUCCCCCUUCUAUAUCUGGAGUGGCCACUCUGGCCUUUUUAUCUCUCCAGGUCCCCUCCUGCCUGCCCUGCUCUGUGGCUCCCACUGUCCCUCGUGUUUUCUCUCUCUCUCUGCUACUAGCUUUUGCCAGUGCUACUGCUGGGUUGAAGUGAAUCAGCUCAGCCAAGCUCAUUCAGCUAAAUCUGAUGCCUCACCCACAGUCCUGGUGUGUUCCAUCAGCUGGGAACUGGUGAUGGGAGCACGACUCUGCUUGUGGCUUCCAGCACGGACAUUUCAUCCUGUGCCAAGCGUGUCAGUGUGACACCCAAAUUUCGCAUGCCAGUCACUAUUGCUUCUCUUGACAGAGCUCAGGGAGAGACACUGGGAAAAUGUGGCAAAAAUACUCUAUUAUGUUCAAAGAGAGACUGAUAGUGCCAUUAAUAAGGCUAUUGCUAGCAAAUAACACCUCUGUAUGGAGAGAGACUCACACUGCCCUUUACAACCAUCUAUCCCUUCUUUGUCUUUCUCCCACGCUGUCUGUACUUUUUUGUAACAUCUAUUUGAAACUCCUUUGCUUUAUUGUCUCCCCAGGCUUAGGAAAGUUGAGUCCCCUCUCUGAAGAGAAAGAAUUACACCUGAGUGUAAUCCUGCUGCAUAGUAUCAAAGAUCUGCAGGUCUUAAAUUUUAGCUUUCUGAGCUCACCUUUGGUAGAUUGAACCACCCUAAAUGAUAGACAAGUAGUUUGAAUGAUACAAGCCAUGUGUGACAUAAAUUUUUCACCUGUGAUCAAUCUGCAUGAGAGUGACAUCAGAAAUGGCAUAUCUUCCUUAGCAUCUGAAAGAGCAAUAUGUGAAAUGAGGGUGAUGUUUGCAGGUGGUCUUCAAGGUCAGAUACACAUAAGGCUGUUAUUAAGUAGACAAACAAAAAAAAACAACAAAGAAAGCAGGAGAAGCUGGGAUCUGGAGAAAACGAAGACCUUCUGUGACUCUUGGCAGUACCCCUGUGUUCCCUGCGGAUGCGCAUCUUGCUCUUCCUUCUCUGUCUUCUUCUUGGAUUAUAAGAGUUCUUUUGCUUAGUUAAAGGCUUGACUUUUUAAACGUUCUUUGAGGCUGAGCACAUAAAGAUGGGUCUGAAAGGGAAGUGUGAAGCUUUGAAAAGGACUUCCUUGACUUUCUG
rnacentral:lncRNA from 1 species